UUAAUACAAAUGUGAUGCAACAUUACAUUGUGUAGUAAACAUUUUUUAAAGAUUUUAACAUAUAAUCUGUAAAUUCAUGAUUAAAUUCAACUGUUAGAAUAAAGAAACUAUUGUCAAAAGACGCGUAUAUAAUAAAGUCGGUUCUUUGUACAUUCAAGAUUACCAUUCCGAGCUGAAUCUGUGCAAAAUAGUUGGUUUUUUCUUUUAAUGUUAAAUCUUUAUUUAAAUAAUUAAGGCCCGGUUCCACAAUUUUCAGUUUAACCCGAGUUUAGCUAAACGGCCGUCAAAGUUAACGCUUACGUUAAACUGCGUUAAACCUGUAUUCCGUUCCACAACUCGUAACCAUAGGUUAUGUAAACCUAUACUCUUUUCAUUGAAACUCAGAAACGUGAACUGUGAUUGGUUGGCUGAGAUUUUGUAAAGAAGAGGGAAAAAUGUGACGGUAAAGAGAUCAGCUGUCUAUUAUUGUUGUGCAAUAAAUAGAAAUAGAAUUUUGUGCAAGAUUAAAUAUAAUUGUGUAAUGUCGAAUAAAAAAGAAUUGUCCGUGAAGGAUAAUCCUAAAAAACGAUUACCAAAUUUUUCGACAGACGAAAAAAUAACGUUAAUUGAAAUUAUCGAAAAGAAAAAAGACAUAAUUGAAAACAAACAAACUAAUGGUGUAACUAUCAAAGAAAAAGAAAAAUGUUGGUUAGAGAUAAGCCGUGAAUUUAAUAGCAGAUGCAUAAAAGCAAACCGAAAUGUGAUGUCGCUAAAAAGUUGCUGGGAUAAUUUAAAAAAGAAGACUUGGAAACAUUUUGCAGAAAUACGUAAAGAAGUUUUCGCAACAGGCGGUGGAAAAAUCCCUGAAAAUAACUAUCCCUGAUGACCCGAUAGCUGAAAAAGUCAAAAGUGUUAUUGAACCAUCGAUCGAAAGUUUAAUCCAUUUGACAGCGAUUGUGUAGCAGGCGGAGAUGACAUCAAUGUGGAUGAGGAUAUAAACGACAAUGACGAUGUGUAUAUGGAUUAUCACUUUAUCAUUGAUGAUUGUUAGUCAAUAUUUUCAAAAUGACUUUCUUGAUGUUCCAAAUAUAUUACUACACAACAGCAAUACUAAUUAUGAUAUGUUUAUUAAUCAUAAACACUCAACGAAACAGAUGAUUUAACGACAAAUUGGACUGAUUGGACGCCGGCAAUGCUACAGUCGGAGAAGAGUACUGAAUUACAGGUUCCAACGACGGUUUUAUGCGUCGAUGAAAGAGAUACGAAUCUUACAUAUAGUGAAAUAGAGGCAAUUAUGGGAACAUCGUCCAAGGAAAAUCAAAAUGUAAAUCCUGCAAGUUUGAAUGUAAAAAAAAAACUGUAAAACGAGGAAAACAGACAAGAAUGCCUGUAAGACGCUGUAAGACGCAAUCAAUGUUUUUACGAUUUAGCUCAAUCUAAAGCCGAAUUAGUCGAGCUAAUGAAAAAGGAUCUG
rnacentral:lncRNA from 1 species